CACCUGUACAUUGACUCCAAUGGUGCACUCAAGCAAUCGAUCACAAAAUAGCAUUAAACUUUCGUUUGAAAAGACAUGGAACUCACCGUGUGGUCAGUGGUGAACAGCGAUAAAUUGACCCAAAAAUCGCCACGAAAUAUGCCUUCAAACCGUUGUUUAGCAGUUGAUGGAACUACUUUUUCCCAGACGUUGAAUAAUAGCAGCUAGACAUCCAGCCAGUAGGUGGCGAUAAUGAGGUAUUUUUGUGAGGACUAGAGAGAAGAAGAAUAUUGCUGUCUUUGAGGAAGCUAGUAGCUACUGCUUCACACACUCGUUUUUGCUGGCAAACACCAUCUAAUCUUUUCAUUUCAACCUCUUUUUUGUUAGCAAGGACAAUACAGACAAAAGGACAGAAGCAGCAUUUAUGUAUUUUGUUAUGUAAUUCGGUAGAAUGGGAGUUAUUGAUCACAGAGCGAAUGGAGAACCUGGACGUAAUUCUGUUGAUGCCUGCCUGUGUGACUGGCGGGGAUGUAGGCAAAGAACGUGGAUCUAUGUAAGGAGGGCUUUGAUCAAGAGACCAUGUGCCAAAAAUCAACUGGAAAAGACGUCCGAGACCGGAGGCGAGGAAUUGGAUGGUCAGAAACCAGGCUGUUGGUGCUGCUGAGGCUGUUGGUUUUCCUGCUUCACUGGUGGAGGAAGUGCAGAGCGGUGGACUUCACUACUUGGAGAACAUGAAUGGAAAGAACACGGGGAUCAUCUAAGCCUGGAUGACUAACUGAAGAGGAAUUGGAUUCAACCCCAGUCCCAGCGUCUACAGGCAAUCAUGGAGGAUAAAUGACUUCUGAAAGUUCUGCAGCAGUUGACUCAGUUCAAACAUACCGUUUCAAUACUGGCAUGUCUUUACAGGGGGCUCUGGAGGAAAAGAAGAGAGGAGAAACACGCAUCUGAUGACCAACCACAUUUUACAGCUCCAGAACAUUUCCUCUAAGCCAAACCUCCUCAAAAGGUCUCUGGAAAGAAGCACCGAAGUAGAUUCCCUAAAGACUGAAAGACCACAUCUAAAUAACAGUCAAUGGAGCACAUGUCUCUGUGU